GCCCAUACUACCAAUUUAAUAUCAUACUAUCAUAAGUGGUGAAAAAUUGUGAAUUCAGAAAUUAUUGUGAUUAACGAUCAUGAUAUUUAUUAUUUAUUUAUGUGAAAUAAAAAUUGAAAUGUUGAAUUGAUGAAAAUAUUUCAAUAAAAAGAAAUGUAGUUUAAAUUGUUCGCUGUUGGAACUAUUUUGAUUGUAUUCUUCUGUUAUUCUAAAAUAAACAAAAUGAUUAGUGUACGUCUCGUUUCAUUUGUAUGUUUGCAUUUUGCGACUUUUACACUAUUAAAUUGUCUUUCGGUCAAAGAUCAAAUGUAUGCUAACAUCAUAGCGGAUAACCCAUGUUUUCUUAGACUAAAUGGAACAAACCAAUUUGGGUGUACUUCUUCAAGAUUUGGAAAUGUUGGAACUUUACAUUUGGUGUCAAAUUCAACUGAUUUAAAUUGGUUAUUUAAUGAAGGAAAGGCUAAUCCUUACACUGUAGCAUUAACACCAAAAAUGUUUAAUAGAGAGGUUUUACAAAGCAUUGAAUUGAGUGCUAAAGUAAAUGGUAUAAUGUUACUAAUGAACGGUACUGAACAAGAAGUAAUAAAUAAUGAUAAUUUACAAAAUACUGGAUUUAGCCCAGAAGAUACAUGUCCUAACCGUUAUUCAGAUGUUAAUAGUUGUCCAACAAAACCAUGGAAUCCUUAUGGUACUGAUAUUCUUUUAAAAAGUUGGAGUUUUCCAAUAUUUGUUGUUUACGAUCAAAACACUAUCAAAGAUAUUAUAGAUUGCUUUAAAAAUCAUAAUUUACCUUUAAAUAAUCAAAAUGAUCAAUCUUUAUGUGCUCUUGAAUUGAAAUCUCAUAUGUAUGCUGCUGUAGAUUCCAAAACGUGUUUGAGGCGAACAAUGAUGACAUACCAAAAUAUAAGACCAAUUAAAUUUUGUGAUCCGCUGGGUGAUAAGAAUGUGUAUUGGUCUCUAAAAGAACUACGUCCAAAUACACCAGAUCAAUCUAUUGCUAUUGUUGCUGCACGGUUGGAUGCUACAUCUAUGUUUCAGGAUUUAGCUCCUGGUGCUAUGUCAACAGCUACAUCAAUUGUGACGUUAAUGGCAACUGCUAAUUUAAUUUCAGAAAUGCUUUCUUACAAUGAUGCCAACAACUACGCUCGGAAUAUUAUGUUUAUUUUAUUUAAUGGAGAAGCUUAUGAUUAUAUUGGAUCAAGUCGAGUGGUCUAUGAUAUGUUAGACGGAAAUUUCCCAAAUGAUUUGAUUAAACUCAAUCAUAGUCAUAUUGGCUUGUUUGUAGAGUUAUCACAAAUACACUAUGAUAAAGAAGUGGUUUUUUAUCGUCCAAUCAAAAAUAAUGCUAGUGAAAAUGUAAUAAAUUUCAUGAAUUUAUUUAAUAAGAGUCUUUCUGAUGAUAGUUUUUCUGUUACUGAAUCAAAAAGCACAUCUAUACCACCAUCAUCACUACAUUCUUUUUUGAAAAUUGAUCCCAAAUUUCCGGGUAUAAUAUUAACAGGAUUUAGAGACCAAUUUAAAAAUAAGUUUUAUCAUAGCAUUUUGGAUGAUGCAGAGAAUAUACAAUAUGGUAAUAAUUCUACAAUUCCACAAACCAUAGCUAAUAUAUCAACUUCUCUUAGUAACUCCCUUUAUACAUUUAUUACUAACUCUACCUACACUGGUUUGAAGCAAGCAAAUUCUAGUUAUGUUACCAAAUUAUUAGAUUGUUAUGUUAAGUCUAUGAAUUGUGAAGUAUUUCAAUCAUUGACUUCACCACUGCAUUUACCUGACAAUCCGCCUAAUUAUUAUAUCAGUAUAGAUUUGAUCACAAAUACUAUCACUAGUCUUUCACGCCUAUUAUUUGCUUCUUUUGGGAGUAAAAUAAUUAAUGAAGUUCAAAAUGAAGAAAAUUGUCUGAACUAUAGAACGAAACAGGGCUUUAUGCCUAUAUGGUUAAGAGGAAAAUAUAAUGCGUGUUAUUCAACAACAUCUAAUGUUACUGAUGCAGUUAGCCCAGCGUUUAUUAUACCUGAUUAUAAUUUAUCAUCUCCAAAAUAUUCAACAUGGACUGAAUCUGUAUGGCAUGAAGUGCAAAUUCGUAUGUUUCUUAGGCAAUCGUUUAAACUACAAAUUAUAAUAUUUGUACUUGGAAUUUUAAUAUUUUUAUUUUCUUUCAUCAUAAUAAAAAAAAUGUAUGAUCAAUCUGGAAUUAAUUUCAAUAACCAAGAUUUAUUUGCGAAUUUGAAAAAGUAUGAUAGUCAGUAAAAUCCUACAGAGUUAAAAUAUAGAAAUGAGUAUUAAAGUUUGAGGUCUAUAAGCAUUUCUCGAAUUGUUUAAGGAUAAUGAAAUACCUAUCGGGUUUUAUAAAAAUAGAGUCCAUUCAGUAACAAAUUUUUGAAAAGAAUUCCUACAAGUAAUAUUUUUUAUAACAGUUGUCUGUGAUUUAUUUUAUGUAAUUUUAUGUUUUGGUUUCUAUCUUACAAAUAUCUACUACUUUUUUUUUAUAAUUAAUUUGUAUAUUUUUAUUAAUAAUAAUUUUUUAAUUUAUGUAAUUUUUUUAAAAUCAUAUUAUUGACAAAAUAUUUGUUUAAAAUUUACUUUUUAAUAACAAAAAUAUUUACUUAAUUAUUGUUAUUAUGAUUGUCAUGUUUCUAUACCAUGGUAUAAAAUAUUUUUAAGUAUCUUAUUGUUUGAUAAAUUAAUUAACUAAUUAACUCAAAUUAUGCAAAUUAUUUACUUUAAUAUAACAAGAAUUAAAAUAAAAAAUAUUGUAAAAGUUAACCAUAAUAUUAUAUUAUAUUUAUUGAACACGUCAGUAUUAUGAAAUAAAAUCAACUACUUUUUUCAAAUUCAAGGAUUUUGGUUGAUUUUAAUAUUAUUUUUUGUAGAUUAGUACACAUAUAUUUUUAAGUUGUAUACAAUUAAUAAUUACAAUUUAAAACAGUUUUAAUGUAUAUAUCUACAUGAUUUUUACAUAUUAUUCAUUGUUCAAAGUAAUAUUGUAUGUUCCUUUCUUCGCGCUUCCCUCCCAAUAAUAUGAUGUCAGCCACCCAUCUAUAAUUAUUUUAUCACUUUUCUUCAACCCCUAUUACUCUUCUUUUCAUAGUUUCAUUAUCUCAUUUAUUUUCAUGCCUACUCCAUUCUAAAAAUGUAUUAUUUAUUUUAAUUUCUUUUUUUCUGUGAAUUUUAUUAAUAAUUAUAAACUAUAUAUAUUUUUAUUAUAACUAUCUCCUAGAUUGAAUAUUUGAAAAUAAAGUGGAAAUUUCUUCAAAA